rnacentral:misc_RNA from 1 species
AAAGAAACGGGUCUAGACCCCACACACGCCACUCGGUAAAGAAUCGGGCCUAUAGCUCAGCUGGCUAGAGCACACGACUGAUAAUCGUGAGGUCAGUGGUUCGAGUCCACUUGGGCCCACCAAAUGGGGCUGUAGCUCAGCUGGGAGAGCAUCGGCUUUGCAAGCCGAGGGUCACCGGUUCGAUCCCGGUCAGCUCCACCAAAGGGAAGAGGCCCGCAGCGCGCGGGUCGGCGGCUCGGGUGGAGGCGGUAGCGGUGUAAAAGCCGUCAAGAAGUAGCCGUAAAGCGGAAUAAGAAGGCGUAGUAAAAAGAGUCUGUAGUAGUGAGUUUCUGAUCAGAAGCUGAGUACUACCGAUUCAGGGUAACGAAGCGGUAUUGUUCUUUGACAGUUGAGGAAGGGAAGGCCAUGUAUGUCAUCUUGCCGAUGGCAUGCCUCCAAGUGGAUGCUUGGGGAUAUAU